AAGUGAGGGUGGUGGGGUCUCACUGUGGAGACAGCCAAGUUUGAGGGUGGAUGAGAGCUGAAAGAAGGAGACCCAGUGGCUUGGGGAGGGUGAGGCAGGACGGGAAGGCACUGCGUUUGGUGGGAGAGAGGAUACCCCUCUGGGAGCGCAUGCGUGCCUGUCACGGGUGGGGGACCCAUCAAGGAAGGAAGGUCUUGCUGCAAAACAUAGCGUCCAGGGCAGGAGGAGGGUUCACCCACCCCUCCAGGUGGCUGAGGAACAAAUGCCAGCGGCACCUUUGCUUACGUUCCCCUGUUGCCCUUCGCGUUCAGAAGCAUGACCCUCCUUGCAUGCAGGAGGACAGGAGAAGGACAGGAGAACAAGGUAUAGGGAUGAAAUGUAAAGAUUGUAAAAUGGGCAGUCUUGGGACCGAGCAGGGGAUGUUGCUCCUCGCCACCAGCGGUGAAAGCCCCGCAGGAGCUCUGCGCCACCGGCGCGGCUCGGCAGCUAAGGAAACGAGAUGCUUCCAGCAACCUGACGCCGUGACUCAGCUGAAUUCCCCGGCUCGCUGAGCUGCCGGCGCAGCCCGGAGGGGCCUGGCCUGCACGGAGAGCAGGACAGCGCUAGCCGCAGCACGGAGACGGCCCGCAUGCAAGGGAGCGCGGCGGGGACCUGCUCUGCCUGGAAAGAACUGAGUCAUUUAUGCGCGGGUGGGUGUCUACGUACUUUUAGCAGCAACAAUAGCAACAUCAUUCUGGAGAAAGAAAAGUCUGUUUUAGCUGUCCUGCGGUGAGGAGGAGAGAGCGCCUCGCUGGCUACGUCGUGAUCUCCUGGUCUCGUCCAGGAGGAAAAACAGGCAUUUGAACCCCGCUCUUGCCAGCAGAGCCAUUCGGCGAAGCACGGACGCUCACGCUCUGUUUUAGCCGUGUCCGUGACCUGCUGAAGAGGGCUCCAGCUGGGCCUGGGGCCCAGGCUUUGGUUGCUCCGCGAGCAGAGGCAGGCGCGGGGGACCGGACGGCUCCACCGCGCUUCGGGAGGGACCUUGAGUGUGUCCUCGGCUUGCAGAAGCAGUUAAGGCCCAGCAACACAGCAAGAACGUAUAGGUGAGGACGGCCCUCACACCCGUGCUGAGCCGCCAGGAGAGUGCGGGUGCUCAGCUGCAGGCGUGAAGACGACAGCUAAUUUAAGGCCCGUCUUAACAACAUAUACUUCAUUUUUCUCAGGCUUCCUUGUUGCAUCCCCCGUAACAGGCGUGAGGGUGCGCACGGUCCAACAGCCAGCGCCUCUUGCUCUCCGCUACCUGCCUGUUUCGGUGACUGUUCCCUCUGCGGCAGAGCAGCCCUGGGUCAGAGCCCCAAACCCCAACUCGCUGCUGUUGCCUCCGUGCAGACGGGUUU
rnacentral:lncRNA from 1 species